GUGGUCCUCAACCCAGUCCUCAUGGAUCACCAACAGUCCAGGUUAUUUCACUAUCUUCAUUGGAAUAAAACAAGGAACUACAUAAAUCCUGGACUGUUGGUGGUCUAUGAGGACUGGGUUGGAGACCA